UACGGAGGGUGCAAGCGUUGCUCGGAAUUAUUGGGCGUAAAGGGUAGGUAGGUGGUCUCAUUUGUCUGGGGUGAAAGCCUUGAGCUUAACUCAAGAAGUGCCCCAGAAACGGUGAGACUAGAGUCCUGGAGAGGGUCGUGGAAUUCCCGGUGUAGCGGUGAAAUGCGUAGAUAUCAGGAGGAACACCGGUGGCGAAGGCGGGUCUCUGGGCCGUAACUGACGCUGAGGAGCGAAAGCAUGGGGAGCGAACAGG
rnacentral:rRNA from 1 species